CUCCAGAGAAGCAAGAAGGAGGACUCCUCUCUAACUCAUUCUGUGAGGGCAGGAUCAUUCUGAUACCAAAACCUGUCAGAGACACAGUGAAAAAAAAAAAAAAAAACCAACUUCAGGCCAAUAUCCCAGGUAAACCUACAAGUCUACAGUAACCAAAAUAACAUGGGACUUGCAGGAAAACAGACAGACCAAUGGAGCAAGU
rnacentral:lncRNA from 1 species